GAUGAACGCUGGCGGCGUGCCUAAUACAUGCAAGUCGAGCGAACAGACGAGGAGCUUGCUCCUCUGACGUUAGCGGCGGACGGGUGAGUAACACGUGGAUAACCUACCUAUAAGACUGGGAUAACUUCGGGAAACCGGAGCUAAUACCGGGUAAUAUAUUGAACCGCAUGGUUCAAUAGUGAAAGACGGUUUUGCUGUCACUUAUAGAUGGAUCCGCGCCGCAUUAGCUAGUUGGUAAGGUAACGGCUUACCAAGGCAACGAUGCGUAGCCGACCCGAGAGGGUGAUCGGCCACACUGGAACUGAGACACGGUCCAGACUCCUACGGGAGGCAGCAGUAGGGAAUCUUCCGCAAUGGGCGAAAGCCUGACGGAGCAACGCCGCGUGAGUGAUGAAGGUCUUCGGAUCGUAAAACUCUGUUAUUAGGGAAGAACAAAUGUGUAAGUAACUAUGCACGUCUUGACGGUACCUAAUCAGAAAGCCACGGCUAACUACGUG
rnacentral:rRNA from 1 species